rnacentral:lncRNA from 1 species
GAAAAUGUGAAAAAAAUGAUAUUGUUUGGAUUAAAGUAAAUAGAGUAGAAAGUAUAGGAAAAAUUUAAGAAAGUUUGUGAAUGAUAUGAUAGGUUUGAUUGUAAUUAUACUUUUUUAAUUGAUAGAAAUGUAAAUUUACAAAUUUACCCUAAUAUGUAAAAAUUGUUAAAAGAUUAUUUUGAUAUUUAUAAAUUAUAAUUAUUUUUAAUUAAAAUAUUAUUUUUAUUGAAAUAUUAUUUUCGAUAAUGUAUUAGAG